CAGUAACACGUGGCCAAACUACCCUGUAGAGACGUAUAACCUCGGGAAACUGAGGCUAAUCCGUCAUACCGGUUGAACGGUUGAACUCCAUCAACCUCGAAAUGCCCCGGCGCUACAGGAUGUGGCUGCGGCCGAUUAGGUUGACGGUGGGGUAACGGCCCACCGUGCCAAUAAUCGGAACAGGUUGUGAGAGCAAGAACCUGGAGACGGCAUCUGAGACAAGAUGCCGGGCCCUACGGGGCGCAGCAGGCGCGAAACCUUUACACUGCACGCACGUGCGAUAAGGGGACUCCGAGUGCGAGGGCAUAUCGUCCUCGCUUUUGUGUACCGUAGGGUGGUACACGAACAAGGGCUGGGCAAGACCGGUGCCAGCCGCCGCGGU
rnacentral:rRNA from 1 species